GGAGUCGGCUGGACAGUCGCGUCAUCCCUCGCGGAUGCCGAGGAAAGUCCGGGCUCCACAGGGCACGGUGCCAGGUAACCCCUGGGCGGCGCGAGCCGACGGAAAGUGCAACAGAAAGAUACCGCCGAACGCUCCUGCCGUUGUGGGGCGCUUGCCGGACGAAUGUCCGGCCAAGUGUUCCCACACCCGCCGCGAGGCGGGAGGCAGGAGGCGUGGCAAGGGUGAAAUGGUGCGGUAAGAGCGCACCGCGAGCCUGGCAACAGGCCGGUACGGCAAACCCCACCGGGAGCAAGACCAAAUAGGGAGACGAUGCCGUGGCCCGCGGUGUCUCCGGGUAGGUCGCUCGAGCGUAUCGGUGACGAUGCGCCUAGAGGAAUGACUGUCCACGACAGAACCCGGCUUACAGGCCGGCUCCGCCA
rnacentral:RNase_P_RNA from 1 species